rnacentral:rRNA from 1 species
AUUGAACGCUGGCGGCAGGCCUAACACAUGCAAGUCGAGCGGAUGAAGGGAGCUUGCUCCUGGAUUCAGCGGCGGACGGGUGAGUAAUGCCUAGGAAUCUGCCUGGUAGUGGGGGAUAACGUCCGGAAACGGGCGCUAAUACCGCAUACGUCCUGAGGGAGAAAGUGGGGGAUCUUCGGACCUCACGCUAUCAGAUGAGCCUAGGUCGGGUUAGCUAGUUGGUGGGGUAAAGGCCUACCAAGGCGACGAUCCGUAACUGGUCUGAGAGGAUGAUCAGUCACACUGGAACUGAGACACGGUCCAGACUCCUACGGGAGGCAGCAGUGGGGAAUAUUGGACAAUGGGCGAAAGCCUGAUCCAGCCAUGCCGCGUGUGUGAAGAAGGUCUUCGGAUUGUAAAGCACUUUAAGUUGGGAGGAGGGGCAGUAAGUUAAUACCUUGCUGUUUUGACGUUACCAACAGAAUAAGCACCGGCUAACUUCGUG